rnacentral:rRNA from 1 species
CCUACGGGAGGCAGCAGUGAGGAAUAUUGGUCAAUGGGCGGAAGCCUGAACCAGCCAAGUAGCGUGCAGGAUGACGGCCCUACGGGUUGUAAACUGCUUUUAUACGGGAAUAACGCGCCUUACGUGUAGGGCUUUGCAUGUACCGUAUGAAUAAGGACCGGCUAAUUCCGUUCCAGCAGCCGCGGUAAUACGGAAGGUCCGGGCGUUAUCCGGAUUUAUUUGGUUUAAAGGGAGCGUAGGCGGCAUGUCAAGCGUGCUGUGAAAUGUCCGGGCUCAACCCGGGCCUUGCAGCGCGAACUGGCGUGCUUGAGUGCGCGGAAGGCAGGCGGAAUUCGUCGGGUAGGGGUGAAAUGCUUAGAUAUGACGAAGAACCCCGAUUGCGAAGGCAGCUGGCUGGAGCGGAACUGACGCUGAUGCUCGAAAGCGCGGGUAUCGAACAGGAUUAGAUACCCUUGUAGUC